AGAAAGUUCCAUGUGAUUGAAGUUGACUGCAAUGCUGCAGUAAGGGUUUUCUCUUUGUCUACUGAUGAGAAGAGGGGGAAAAAGAAAAGAAGAUUCCUCAUACCAGCACUCUUGGUGAGUAGGUUAUCUUCCAUGUCAGUAAUCAAUGCUGCUGACUUCACGAGCAAUUAUAACACUAUGAAGGCAGAGUUGCUAACUACUGAUAUUGGUCCCAGUGGUGAAAUAGUUUAUGGUCCAGUCAGUGGCCAAGGUGUGGUAUAGGGAGGUCCUACCAGGCCUUGCUGGUUAGCAUCUUCUAGGCCUUGGUGGUUCUUUUAGAGAUACAAUUGCAUUAUCUGACUGUUUUCCACGUGGUGACAUCACACAACAUUACUUAACCCCACGGAUUCUGUGGUAACUGAUCUCUAACAUCUUCUGAAUUCCCAACUCAGAAUCAGUCAAAAUAUCUCUCAGACUUAAGUUAAACAACUGUGCCAAAAAAAAAAAAAAAAAAUCUCUCGUAGUUCCCAUUGUGGCUCAGUGGAAAUGAAUCUGACUAGUAUCCAUGAGAACACAGCAGGUUCAAUCACUAGCCUUGCUCAGUGGGUUAAGGAUCUGGUGUUGACAUGACCUGUGGUGUAGGUCACAGAUGCAGCUCGGAGCCCAUGUUGCUGUGGCUGUAGCAUAGGCCAGUGGCUACAGCUCCAAUCUGAUUGCUAGCCUUGUAGCCUAGAACCUCCAUAUGCUGCGAGUGCAGCCUAGAUAAAUUUUUUUUUCUUAUAUUAUUUUCCCACACUGGAAUACACCAUAAAAAUUGAUGCAGAUAUAAUGUGAACAAAAAUUCAUAUGUGGUAAGAAGUUAAAAAUGCAAUAUACAAUAUACAUUAUCUAACUAAUUAUUCUCCAAUGUUCAAACAGUUGUCCAAAACAAUAAAUUAAUAAGAAUGAAUCUUAAAACUUUAUUU
rnacentral:lncRNA from 1 species